rnacentral:rRNA from 1 species
GUAGAUUACGUACCCCUAGGACUGGAAUAGCUGCGGGAAACUGCAGGUAAUGCCAGAUAAUAUCUUCGGAUCAAAGGUGUGAUUCCGCCUAGGGAGCGGUCUACGUCCUAUUAGUUAGUUGGUGGGGUAAUGGCCUACCAAGACUUUGAUGGGUGGCGGGUGUGAGAGCACGACCCGCGUCACUGGGACUGAGACACUGCCCAGACACCUACGGGUGGCUGCAGUCGAGAAUCUUCGGCAAUGGGCGAAAGCCUGACCGAGCGACGCCGCGUGCGGGAUGAAGGCCUUCGGGUUGUAAACCGCUGUCAGUGGGGAGGAAGGCCGCGUGAAGAGCGCGGUUUGACCUAUCUUCAGAGGAANGACGGGCUAAGUUCGUGCCAGCAGCCGCGGUAAGACGAACCGUCCAAACGUUAUUCGGAAUUACUGGGCUUAAAGGGUGCGUAGGCGGUGCUACAAGUCGGGUGUGAAAUCCCUCAGCUUAACUGAGGAACUGCGCCUGAAACUGUAGUGCUG